rnacentral:sRNA from 1 species
UGCUUGAGAGGCCUAAAACACCGAGAGUGA